GUGCUCACUUCAGCAGCACAUCUACUAAAACUGGAACGAUACGGAGAAGAUCAGCGUGGCCCCUGUACAAGCAUGACACGCAAAUUUGUGGAGCGUUCUACAAUUUU